UACAGAGGGUGCGAGCGUUAAUCGGAAUUACUGGGCGUAAAGCGUGCGUAGACGGCUAUCUAAGUCGGGUGUGAAAGCCCCGGGCUCAACCUGGGAAUUGCAUUCGAGACUGAAUAGCUAGGGUACGGUAGAGGGAAGUGGAAUUGCUGGUGUAGCGGUGAAAUGCGUAGAUAUCAGCAGGAACACCCGUGGCGAAGGCGGCUUCCUGGAUCACCCCUGACGCUGAGACGCGAAAGCGUGGGGAGCGAACGGG
rnacentral:rRNA from 1 species